CCCUUAGAUGUCCUGGGCCGCACGCGCGCUACACUGAGUGUCUGAGAUACGAGUCUGCCUAGCCGGCGAGGUCUAGGUAAUCGCUGAAAGACACAUCAUCCUUGGGAUAGAUUAUUGCAGAUAUUAAUCUUGAACGAGGAAUUCCUAGUAAGCGCAAGUCAACAGCUUGCGUUGAUUACGUCCCUGCCCUUUGUGCACACCGCCCGUCGCUACUACUGAUUGGAUGUUUAAGCGAGGUUCUCGAACUGCUAGCGACUUAGCUUCGGUGAGGUCGCUGUGUGGGAAGUGAACCUAGCUUUGGUUUCUAGAGGAAGUAAAAGUCGUAUCA
rnacentral:rRNA from 1 species